UUUCCCUCCUUUUUCUUCUUCUGGAGAAGAGGUCUUCUUUCUUUCUUCAUACUACUCUUCUCUCUCUCUUUCGUCCAAAAAUAUAUCUUCUGUUCUGUUCUUCAACCCAUUUUCUUCUCCUCUAAACCUCCUCAUAGCGAUGGCGAUUGCUCCAUUUUUGCUAGAAUCAAACCUCAAAUGGGAUCACCAUUUACUGCAGCCACCAAGUCCAAUUCGAUUUCUUUACGGGGCCUCCUCCUUGUCACUCUCCUCCUCUACCGUUACCGUUAGGAGGCUUCAUAGACCCUCUUCGAAAUUCAAUCUCAAAUGCCUCUUCGCCAACUCUAAAUCUUCCACCCAGGAGGAUCACAAUUCUGCUAAGUUUAAGCUUCUCAAUAAUAAUAAUUAUAAUGGUCACCCCUUUGAGUUUGUGGCAAGAGGUAUUGUGAAUGCCCUCAAGGCUUUGCGUAAGCCCGCAGUGGCCGCCCUGCUUGUCGGUCUGUUUUUAAUGUACGAUCCCAGCUCGGCGUUGGCCGCAUCCGGCGGCAGAGUCGGCGGACGCUCUUUUUCCUCAUCCUCAUCCUCAUCCGGGAGUGAGGCUUGGGGAACCUGGAUUUAAGGAACGAUAUUAUUCUGAGAAAUUUGGUUUGUCAAGUCCAAUGGAAAUUAAUGAAGUUAGGCAAGAUGUUAUUUUGAGGCACAUUGAUGUAAAACCCUUCCCUGCAUUAUGGCAUGAAGAUCAUGGUUACAGGGAUUUUGGGCCAUUUUUCCACUUAGUUCAUUAACUCCAAACGAGCCUAUCAACUAUUCCCAGUAUAAAAGCUAACCCCAUGUAGCAAGAGGGAGACACACAAACAUUCUUGUACUAAACCCUUGUACUUCACUUAUAUCAAAUAUACACCGUAACAAUAUUUAUCGUC